rnacentral:rRNA from 1 species
UACGUAGGGGGGCAAGCGUUGUCCGGAUUUAUUGGGCGUAAAGAGCGUGUAGGCGGCCAGGUAGGUCAGCUGUGAAAACUCGAGGCUCAACCUCGAGACGUCGGUUGAAACCGCUUGGCUAGAGUCCGGAAGAGGAGAGUGGAAUUCCCGGUGUAGCGGUGAAAUGCGCAGAUAUCGGGAAGAACACCCGUGGCGAAGGCGGCUCUCUGGGACGGUACUGACGCUGAGACGCGAAAAGCGUGGGGGAGCAAACAGG